GGAUUUUAACCAUUAUUAAAAUUAGAAGGGGUUUCCUUUUAGGUUUUCCAUAUGCUACUUGACUACCAGUUAACCUGUGGGGAACAUUU
rnacentral:snoRNA from 14 species